rnacentral:rRNA from 1 species
CGGACGGGUGGGGAGUGUCUGGGAAACUGCCUGAUGGAGGGGGGUAACUACUGGAAACGGUAGCUAAUACCGCAUAACGUCGCAAGACCAAAGAGGGGGACCUUCGGGCCUCUUGCCAUCGGAUGUGCCCAGAUGGGAUUAGCUAGUAGGUGGGGUAACGGCUCACCUAGGCGACGAUCCCUAGCUGGUCUGAGAGGAUGACCAGCCACACUGGAACUGAGACACGGUCCAG